UCGGCCUGGUCUCCACGAGGCGUCGAAAGCUGCAGCGGACGCUCCUCAGGCGAAAACUGUUUGGAUCGCAGUCUUCGGGGUCCAGAGGCCAGAGACCGGGCUGCGGGCAGACGCGGCAGGGCUGCGGGCAGCCUCCCUGCCCGCCCGGCCAUGUGGCGCCCGCUGGUCCUGCUGCUGCUGCUGCUGCUCCCUGCCGCCUCGGUCCCCACCGCCACUGCCGCGCUCAUCCCAGGCGCCCAAAGCCAGAACGGCCCGCAGAGCCGCCUCCGAGGUACCAGAGCUGGAGGAAACAGGGGGCUACAGGCUGCUGAAAAGCAGGCCCCUCACUUUGGCUGCCCUCCUGCAGUAUGAGGUGGCUGCCUUGGUGGUGCCGCCCCGAAGCCUGGGAGGCUGGCCUGCGGCUCCAUGACAAGCGUCCAGGGCUACAGGCCACCUGUAACAGGCUCCCACAGGGGGCCUCCAGGCGGGGGCCCUGGGGCCUCCCUAACCCCAAACAACACACCCCAAGACCCACUUCUUGGCCCUUCCCAGGCUGGGCAGCAGGGGCUGGGGGUGGGCAUCAGAGCCCUGGCAGGGGACAGACAUGUACCCUCACCAGCGCCCACACCCAUCUCCAUUUAGAAAUAAAUUUCUU